AAUUAGUACUCUAUUUUUUCCUUAUUUUAUUGAAAUUUUAUUUGGAUUAACUUUUUUUUCUCUUUCUACUCAAAAUUCCACAAUGGACUACGGAAACUACGGACAAUUUUCUAUUUUCGGCAUGCAGAAUCCAGAGGCUUUUUAUCCUGAAGUCGGCGGCACGGCCCAUAGUUACAACCAGAACCCUUUGUCGAGCGCUAUGACGAACCCUAUGGAUUCUCAAAUGCCGGAAGAGGCGUAUGCUAUGACACCGAACCAGGCUCAACUAAACAUGCCAGAGGGACACACCCCCUACAAUUCUAGGCAACAAGUCGCUCCCAGUGCCAGCUCCUAUCGCUGUAUGGUGCGCCAACAGAAGAGGGCGCGAGAGAUGAGGGCACGCAAUGGAUUAUACUCCCCCACAGAUGGGCCUGGGAGCAUGAGUGGCGGUGAUGGUUAUCCUUGUUGUGCGGGACCUAGUGUUAAUGGAUCCAGCAUGAAUUCGCAGCCGAGUAAUAUGUUUUGGUAGGGCUUGUGUAUGCUAGCAACUUGUUAUGGAUUCGGAAGCGAUUGAUUCGUUUGGAUAGUAUUUUAUGAGCCGAGUAAUUCGCAUUGCCAGUAUUUAUAUUGCCUCUUCAGUCUCUUAGCAGCAUUUCCAUGGCGUAUGGGCAUAACGAACACAACUAACGAGAUUAUAAUAAAAUAUACAUCGAACAUUUACAAAUGCUUUGUCUUCAAGUACUUCAAAAAUCUAUGAUCUCUGUCAUUACGUAAGUUUUUAAAAAGAAGCCGUUUUAGAUUUGCGGUCAUCAUCGAAAGAACUAUAUAUUAUUGGUGAAGAUGUUAAAAAGUUGACAUCAUAAAUAGGCAGAGACUGCGUAAGUAAUGUAAAAAUUUGGUUGGAUCGAUGCAAAAACCCAUUAGUAACGAAAUAUUUUAAUUCAAUUGUUAAAAAUUAAAUAGAAAUAAAUAUUUGUUUCAAUGCAAAA